ACUCCUGCAUGAAGGCUUCUGGAGAAGUAGGAAGGCUUAGAAUGUCGCUCACUCAUCUUUCACUUCCUGUAGCAACUGUUUCGUGCUCUUAAGUCUGGUAUGUUUUGUUUUCUUGAAUUUUAAGGUGUUCAGACUUAAUCUUCUCUCGGCUUGGUUUUGGGGUUCAUUAAGCGUUUCUCUUUUCCUUCCUAAAGCUUUACUAAAUUUCUUAUUAUAAUCUUUUCAUGAAGUACUGGCUUUCCAUGUCUUCUUUUUUUUUUUUUUUGGAGACAGGGUCUCACUCUGUCGCCCAGGCUGGAAUGCAGUGGCGUGAUCUUGGCUCACUGCAGCUUCCGCCUCCCGGGUUGGUUCAAGUGAUUCUCGUGCCUCAGCCUCCGAGUAGCUGGGAUUACAGGUGUGCGCCAGAAGACCCAGCUAAUUUUUGUAUUUUUAGUAGAGAUGGGAUUUUGCCAUGUUGGCCAGGCUGGUCUCAAACUCCUGACCUCAAGUGAUCCACCCACCUCGGCCUCCCAAAGUUCUGGGAUUACAGGCGUGAGCCACUGAGCCAUGCCUUCUUUACAUUCUUUUCUUCCUCGGUUCCCCCAAAUCAGGGGCAGAUUUUCUCUCAUGUUUGCUUCAUAUCCUUCUGAUUGUAGGUAAAACAACCUCUUUGAUAAAUUCUCCCUCUGUAGCUUGAUUUCUUCAAAAUAUAUCAUAACUUUUGCUCUUCUGCUAAUAAAAUGACAUCUUUUACAUAAUUUAUUUUUUAAAACAUUUCUGCAGAGCCUGAUGUUGAAUCACUUCAGAUCUUUUACUCUUUGUGGAAAAGAAUGGUCCCCAAGAAGAAAAUGGCAAAUGCACCAAUUCUCAUUAGAGGCUCCCAAGGUGCCCCAGGAAAACCAGGGAUUCCGAAUCCAAAACAACUGCACUCUGGUUGGCUGGCAGAUGGGCACCUCUUCUGUGUUGUUUCCCAGCCCUGUUCUCAAACACUGAUGCCUUUCAGCUCGUGUGCAAACCACAAGCUUCUCCUGACAGGUGGAAUUUCCUCAGGACUGUCCGUCUCAGGUGCGUCCAUGUCUGUCUGCACCUGGAUGGCAUCGCCUCUCCAUCUCGAGGACGCCAUCUGGAGGGGUGAGUUCCAGGGUCAGGGAAGGAGGGCAGGAGGGUGGAGGAGGACUGGGUAGCCUGGAGCAGGGGCCCAGGACCAUGUUUAAGAGCUGGGGAGGAGGAGAGUGUGAAGCAAGAGGAGGAGGAGGGGACAGGGACGGGGACGGGGGAGGGGGAGCGGGAGGAGAGGAUCUACUUGUGUCUCCAAGACUGUGUGCUGUUAUUAUCUGGUUCUAGCCGUCAGGCAAGUCUUUACUGGAUUACCUCCUGCCUGAACUAUUCCCUCCCUCUUUUUUCACCCGCAGGGCAGGGCAGGGUGGCUGAUCCCCUGCAGGCCCCAGCCCUGUGACUCAGCCACCAAAGCCCAAUCUCCAGCCCAAGGGAACCAAGGGUAUCUUCUUCAUCAUCCUUCCAGUCCUCUUCCCCUUCGCCGGGCUCCAGCCUCAGCUUGGCCCUCACCUCCACUCCUCUCCCCUCUCACCCCUGCCCCCAUUCCACUUCAUCUCCCUCCCUCACCUUAGGGCACCUCUGCCUGCUCCUUAUGCUGGAGUUGAUUUUCUACAAUCUCAACUCAGCCAAGAGAUCUCAUCACCUAAAAAAGUGAUGUGAACCUUAAGAUCACAUAUGUCAUAUGGGGGUGAAGGUGGGGGUGGGAGGCACUAAGGGCAGGGCAGCAGGUGGGUCAGCCCCAGGUGCUGGCAAUAGAUGGGGGUCCAGGUCAGCAGAGAACCUAAAAACAAUAAAGCAACUGAUUAGCCCGUCUCUUUAUUGUAAAACCCUGUGCUGGCAAUCCUAAACAAUGUUGGUGAUAAAAUGUUCCUCUCUCAAAAUCUUUUAGUUAGGAUCUAAGUUUUAUAUAAUUGCUUAGGUCAUUGUUGAGAGUUUCUUUCUUUCUUUCUUUCUUUCUUUCUUUCUUCCUUCUCUCUUUCUCUCUUUUCUUUUCUUUCUUUUUUGAAAUGUAGUCUCGCUCUGUCGCCAGGCUGGAGUGCAAUGAAGCAAUCUCAGCUCACAGCAACCUCCACCGCCUAGGUUCAAGCGAUUCCCCUGCCUCAGCCUCCAAAGUAGCUGGGAUUAGAGGCAUGCGCCACCAUGCCCAGCUAAUUUUUGUAGUUUUAAUAGAGGCGGGGUUUCACCAUGUUGACUAGGCUGGCCUGGAACUCCUGACCUCAUGUGAUUCGCCCGCCUCAGCCUCCUGAAGUGCUGGGUUUAUAGGCGUGAGCCGCUGUGCCCAGCCUUGAGUUUCAAUUAAAAAAAAACUAAAAAACCCCUCUAUCUGUGGGGAGGGAGAGCAUCAGGAUAAAUAGCUAAUUCAUGCUGGGCUUAAUGCCUAGGUGAUAGGUUGAUAGGUGCAGCAAACCAUCAUGGCACAUGUUUACCUAUGUAACAAAACUGUAUAUCCUGCACAUGUACCCAAGAACUUAAAUGAAAUUAUUAACCCUCUAUAUCCUUCAAAUUAGCACAUUUUAAUUAGUUAUCCUUUAUAUUCUACAUGGAAGCUAAUUCGGAAAAUUACUCCCCCCUCAACAAACACAGCUACUUAUUUGGAGAGUAGGUCCCUAAAGAUUUGAAAUGCUUUCUGCUCUCUUCAGUGUGGUUUGUGUCUUUAGCCCCACCGUACAACAUACUUCUGCAUUUAGUGAAUAUGAAAUAAAUGAUGGUACACAGAGUGUAUAGAAGUGAUUGUAUGCUGUGCUUGUAAAAAUGAUUAAACAACUUGAAUCAUUUCAAUUCAGUUAUAUGAUUGCUUGGAGUUUUAAUUUGUUUUUAAUUCUUUUUUUUUUUUUUUUUUAUAGUUGAGAUGGGGUCUUGCGAUGUUGCCCAGACUGGACUGGAACUCCUGGGCUCAAGCCAUCCUCCCGCCCUAGUUUCUUUUUUUUUUUUCUUUUUUUCUUUUUAGACAGAGUCUCGCUCUGUUGUCCAGGUUGGAGUGCAGUGGCACAAUCUCAGCUCACUGCAACUUCCACCUCCCGGAUUCAAGUGAUUGUUGUGCCUAGACCUCCCAAGUAGCUGGGAUUACAGGUGUCCACCACCACGCCCAGCUGAUUUUUGUAUUUUUAAUAGAGACAGGGUUUCGCCAUGUUGGCCAGGCUAGUCUCGAACUCCUGACCUCAAACGAUCCACCCACCUUGGCCUCCCAAAUGUUGGGAUUACAGGUGUGAGCCACCACACCUGGCCUGCCCUAGCCUCUUAAAUAGAUGGGAUUACAGGUGCCUGUUGCCAUACCUGUAAUCCCAUCCCAAAUCCAUAAAUUUGCUGUUUUUUGAAUUUAAAACAGCAAAAUAGAAUGUCAGCUUAAGGUGUAGUUUUUUUUAAUCAGUAUAACUUUUAAUUGGUACAUGAAAUAUUUCAUUUGAUUGAAUAAUAUUUUUAAAAUUUGAAGUUAAUUUUUUGUUUUAAAAUUAAGUAAUGAAGAAAAUAAUUAUUAAUGAGAACAUGGUUAUUAACUGAAAAUCAUUUCUUGUAUAGAGAAGGGGGCAUUGGAAUGGUCCCCCAGGGUAUGAAAGGCGUGAGUUCUACACUGAGCGCAGGCGUGGGAGCCCUUGCUCAGCCAUCCCGGGAGCUCUGCUGUGCCAGACUAUUAGCUUGGGCUCCCAUCCUGGAUGGCUGAGCUUCACCUUUGAGUAUUUUCCUUAGGAGGAGCUCACAAGAGCAACAUUCCUUGAGUUUUGCCUGUUCAGAAAUGUGUGGGCUGGGUAUAAACGUCUUGGGUUACAUUUGCAUCUUUCAGGAUUUCUAGGUGUUGUUUGCUCCGCUGUCCUAUAACAUUGGGUCGCAGUUGCAGAGAUGGGUGAGCCCCGCACAUUCUUUUCUUCUUACUGGUGAUUUGGUCCGUUAGCCUGUCAGUUCAAAGAAUUGUAUCCUUAUCUGUGAACGUCAGUUCAUUUGGAAAUGUUGACUGUUUAUAUCCACUUUUAUUGGGACAUGGCCUUUGAAGAUGCAUAAUCCUGUUUUCUUAGUGCUGGAAACAGUUUCAGGAUUCUGUCUUCAUGUUUGUUCUUUUGUUUCCUUAGGAACUACAACUGCGUAUCUAUUAGCUCUCUUGUCCGUUUGCCAUAUGUCAUUUCCUUUUAGCUAUCUAGGAAGAAGAGCUUACAGGGUAAACUUCCCAUUUAACUAUCCCCUUUCCAUUUUCUCACUCACUUUGUUACAGUCCUCUCUGUGUUUUUGGUGGCAUCUGCUUUUCCUGUGAUACUUUCCAUUUUCUCUUCUCCUCUGUGCUGCUUUAAUUUUUCUCUUCCACGUAUUUCCUGGGUUUUGCCAGCUCUUUCUCUCUCUCUUUUUUGAGACAGAGUCUCACUCUGUCACCCAGGCUGGAAUGCAGUGACACAAUCCUAGUUCACUACAGCCUUGCACUCCUGGGCUCGAGAGAUCCUCCUGUCUCAGACUCCAAGUAGCCAGGACUACAGGCCUGCACCACCAUGCCUGGCUUUUUUUUAAUUAAAAAAAAAUUUUUUUUCAAGAUGGAGUCUUACUCUUUUGCCCAGACUGGAGUGCAGUGGCGCUUUCUUGGCUCACUGCAAUCUCUGCCUCCUGGGUUUAUGUGAUUCUCCUGCAUCAGCCUCCAAAGUAGCUGGGAUUACAGGUGCCCACCACCAGAGCCGGCUAAUUUUUGUAUUUUUUUUUAGUAGAGAUGGGGUUUCACCAUGUUGGCCAGGCUGGACUUGAACUCCUGACCUCGUGAUCCACCUGCCUCAGCCUCCCAAAGUGCUGGGAUUACAGGCAUGAGCCACCGCACCUGGCCAUUUAAAAAUACAUAUGUAUUAAUUUUUUUUUAAGAGAUGGGGUCCCUCUUUGUCACCCAGGCUGAAAUGCAGUGGCAUGAUCAUAGCUCACUGCUGCCUCAAAUUCCUAGGCUCAAUAAAUCUUCCUCACUCAGCCUCCUGAGUAGCUGGGACCACAGGUGCAUGCCAUGCCCAGCUAAUUUUUAAAUUUUUUGUAGAGAUGGGAUCUUGCCAUCUUGCCCAGUCUGGUGUAGAACUCCUGGCCUCAAGCAAUCCUCCCAUCUUAGCCUCCCAAAGUGCUAGAAUUACAGGCAAGAAUCUACUAGGCCUGGCCUAUUCUUAAUUUUUUGUAGGGAUGGGGUCUCACUAUGUUGCCCAGGGUGGUCUUGAACUCCUGGCCUCAGGUGAUCCUCCUCACUCAGACUCCCAAAGCACUGGAAUUACAGGCAUGAGCCACCAUGCCUGGCCUCAGUUUCUUUCUUUCUUUCUUUUUUUUUUUUUUUUUUCUGAGACGGAGUCUCGCUCUGUCACCCAGGCUGGAGUGCAGUGGCAUGAUCUUGGCUCACUAUAACCUCCGCCUCCUGGGUUCAAGUGAUUCUCCUGCUUCAGCCUCCCAAGUAGCUGGGAUUACAGGCACUUGCCACCAUGCCUGGCUAAUUUUUUUUUUUUUUUAGUAGAGACAGGGUUUUACCAUGUUGGUCAGGCUGGUCUCGAUCUCCUGACCUCAAGCAAUCCACCCGCCUCAGCCUCCCAAAGUGCUGCAAUUACAGUCGUGAACCAACGUGCCUGGCAACCUUAGUUUCUUAUUUGUGCUUUGGCUUUACGGAAGAGUUUUUUUUUUUUUUAAAUUUUUAAAUGAAAUACUUAUUUGAAUUUUUCACCUGCUCAGUGGUAAAAAUUUUCUAAUAAGUGUUCUUCAGUUUUUGUAUAUUUAUCUUGUUCCUUUCUUCCUUUUUUCUUUUUUUUAAAUUUAUUUUUUAUGUUGUAGAAACAAUGUUUCCCUGUGUUGGCCAGACUGGUCUUGAAUUACUGGGCUCAAGUGAUCCUUCCCUCUUAGCCCCCCAAAGUUCUGGGAUGAUAGGCAUAAGCCACCACACCUGGCCCCUUUCCUCCUUUUUUCUUCUAGUGUCUUUGCAUAGAUCCCCUACUGAUUCAUCUUUAAUUUAUUUGAGAGGGUGAGCUUUUCAGGUGGAAUAAGAGCCAGGGCCUUUUCCAAGGAGUAGGUCAAUGCUGGGGCAGAGUUGUCAACUGCCAGGCUGACUGUGGAAGGCACACCCCAACAUGCACCCAGAGCCCCUGGGCAAAGGCUGUGAGGCUUGCUGGUUCCAGGCAGUGACAGAAAUCUGUGUCAUCAUUGGCUGACCACUAAGCUAACCAAGAAAAGACUUCAGUAGCCAUAUACAACACAGAAUAUAGACUUCACAGAAUUAAGUCAGAAAAGUCACUAAGCAAACAACAGUAAUUACAACAAAUCCUGGGGAGGGAGAAGAAUCUAUUUCUAGAGCUGCCACAUCUUGUUAUUCAAAAUGUCCAUUUUUCAAAAAAAUUAUGAGACAUGAAAAGGAAAAAGAAAGUAUGGACCCAUACACAGGAAAAAAAGCAACCAGUAAAAACUGUUCCUGAGGAAAUCCAAACAAUGAACCCACUUGAAAAAAAUACUUAAUCAGCUAUUUCAAAUAUGUUUAGCCAGGCACUGUGGUGGGCACUUGUAGUCCCAGCUACUCAGGAGGCUGAAGUGGGAGGAUUGCAGGAGUUUGAGACCAACCUGGGCAAAAUAGUGAGACCUCCAUUUCAAAAAAAGUUUAAAAAACUUAAGAAAACCGUGUCUAAAGAAUUAAAUGAAAGUAUAAGAAUAACUUACCAAACAGAAUAUCAACAAAGAUAGGAAUUAUAAUAAAGAACCAAGUAGAAAUUCUGGAGUUGAAAAGCACAAUAACUGAAAUGAAAAAUUCACUAGAGGGGCUCAACAACAGAUUUGAGCAGGCAAAGAAUGAGUGACCUUGAAGAUAGGUUAGCUGAGAUGAUCUAGUUUGAGGAAGGGGGAAAGGAGAGAAUGAAGAAAAAGGAACAGACUAAGAUCUGUAGGACAUCAUCAAACAUACCAGCAUACACAAAAUGGGAGUCCCCAAAGGAGAGAGACAGAGAAAGGUGAGGAAAAAAUUUGAAGAAGAAAGUGGCCAAAAGUGUCUCACAUUUUAUUAAAAACAUUAAUAGUUUACUUCAAGCAGAAUAAACUCAAAGACAUUCACACCUAGACACAUUAUAAUCAAAUGAUUGAAAGUCAAAGCCAAAGAGACUUUUGAUGGCUGGUUGCUGUGGCUGAUGCCUGUAAUCCCAGCACUUUGGGAGCCCAAGUCCAGUGGAUCACCUGAGGUCAGGAGUUCUAGACCAGCCUGGGCAAUAUAGUGAGAUCCCAUCUCUAUUAAAAAUACAAAAAUUGGCUGGGUGUGGUGGCUCACACCUGUAAAUCCAGCACUUUGGGAGGCCAAGGUGGGUGGAUCACAAGGUCAGGAGUUCAAGACCAGCCUGGCCAAGAUGGUGAAACCCUGUCUCUACUAAAAAUACAAAAAUUAGCCGGGCGUGGUGGUGGGUACCUGUAACCCCAGCUGCUUGGGAGGCUGAGGCAGGGAAUUGCUUGAACCCAGGAGGUGGAGGUUGUAGUGAGCCGAGAUCGUGCCACUGCACUCCAGCCUGGGUGACAGAGUGAGACUCCAUCUCCAAAAAAAAAAAAAAAAAUUAUCCAUCUCAAAAAAAAAAAUUAUCCGGGUAUGAUAGUGGGCGCCUGUAGUCCCAGCUACUUGGGAGGCUGAGGCAGGAGAAUUGCUUGAACCUAUGAGGUGGAGGUUGCAGUGAGCUAAGAUUGCGCCACUGCACUCCAGACUGGACGACAGAGUGAGACUGUCUUAAAAAAAAAUCAAAAUUUUGAAAGUAGCAAGAAGUAGCAAGAGAGAAACUACUCAUUGCAGACAGCCAUCCUCAGUAAGAUUCACAGGUAAUUCCCCAUCAGAAUCUAUGGCAGCCAGAGGGCAGAGGGAAGAUGGAGAAAUUAAGACAUUCCCAGAUAAACAUAUAUCGUCUCUACAAAAAAAAAAAAAAAAAAAAAAAAAAAAGCCAGGCAUGGUGGUGUACACCUCUAAUCCCAGCUACCCAGGAGUCUGAGGCAGGAGGAUCACUUGAUCCUGGGAGUCUGAGGCUGCAGGAUGCUAUGAUCAUGCUGCUGUACCUCAGUCCAGGUGAUGGAGUGAGACCCUGCCUCUAAAAAAUUUUUUUAAAAUAAAGAUCUGAGCAGGGGUAGUAGUGUGCACCUGUAGACCCAGCUGCUCCGGACCCUGAGGCAGGAGGAUCACUUAGCCCAGGAGUCUGAGGCUGUAUGUGCGAUGAUCAUGCCUGUGAAUAACCACUGUACUCCAGCCUUAGCGACAUAGUGAGACCGUGUCUCUGAGAGAAAAAAAAAAAAAGGAAAAAAAAGAAAAGAAAUACUUCAGAUCAAUAACUUAAGCUUCCAUCUUAAGAAACUAGAAAAAGAAGAUCAAACUAAACCAGAAGCAAGUAGAGGGAAUAAGAUCAUAAAAAUUAGAGUACAGAUAAAUAAAAUAGAGAAUAGAAAAACAAUAGAGUAAAUCAGUGAAACCAAGAAUUGGGUUUUUAAAAGAUUAACAAAAUUGACAAUGCAAAGCUACUCUUCUCCCAUCACACAGUCUGAUUUCUGCAAAUACGGUAUUUCAGUUAUCUGUUGCUGUAUGACAAAUCACCCCAAAACGUAGUGGCUUAAGACAGCAGCAACCAUUUAAAUAAAAAUUCUGUAUUUUAGGCAGGCUCUGUGGGUAUGACUCAACUCUGCCUCCACAUGGUGGUGGCUGGAAUUGCAUGCAUCCAGAAGCUCAACUGGGCUGUAACUUCCAAGAUGUUCCACUCACAGCUGGUAGCUGGUGCUGUUAGCUGAGGCUACAGUUCUGGGCUUUUCCUUGUUCUAUCUUGGGCUUCCUUACAGCAUGGCAACUGCAUUCCAAGAAGGAGUGUUUCAAGUAUUGAGAGUGGAAGCUGCCGAUGUCCUGGAGACCAACCUUGAAAGUCACACAACAUCACUUCUGACACCUUCUAUUGGUCAAAGCGUGACACAGCCUGUCCAAAUUCAAGGGGAGGGGAAACAGACUCCACUUCUUCAUGGGAGGAGUGGCAAAGAAAUUGCAGCCAUCUUUAUUCCAUCACAUAUGGCUUGCCUGCAUGAUUCCUCAAUUGGCCGCUUUUGCUUUGUUCCUUGGGAGCAAAGCAGACCCAGGGGUGUUCUUGCAGCUGCUGUUGAUCUGCUCCAGUUGCUGCAAAAAGAUUUUAUUUAUUUACUUAUUUAUUUGAGAUGGAGUUUCGCUCUUGUUGCCCAAGCUGGAGUGCAAUGGCGCAAUCUUAGCUCACUGCAAUCUCUGCCUUCUGGGUUCAAGCAAUUCUCCUGCCUCAGCCUCCCGAGUAGCUGAGGUUACAGGCAUGCGCCACCAUGCCUGGCUAGUUUUGUAUUUUUAAUACAGACGGGGUUUCUCCAUGUUGGUCAGGCUGGUCUCGAACUCCCAACCUCAGGUGAUCCACCCACCUGGGCCUCCCAAAGUGUUGGGAUUACAGGCGUGAGCCAACGUGCCCAGCCAAGAUUUUAUUUUUAUACACUAGGGUGUGCCCCUCGCCCUCAAGGCAUGCACUUUGCUGCUUCUCACAUUUGGGUGUGUGUAGGGGGAUGGGAAACCAGGCAGAGAGGUCAUGGGCACAGACUCUGGGGCCAGAUGGCCCGGGUUUGAAUUCUGCCCGUGUCACCUGCUUACUGUGUGACUGUGCGCAGUCACGUCAUCUUUCUGAGCCUCAGCGUCAUUGCAAAUGCUGUGCAAGUGUUUGCUUCUGCAGUUGCUACUGCUCUAUCUGCAGCCACAGGCACCCUCUGUGAUCUUCCUCCUGUCCCUCUGCUGGAUCCCUGCUGCCUUCAGCACUCUGGCCUAUUUUAGUACUCAGGAUCUCGGGUAGCUCCUAGGUUUACUGGAAAUGGAUUUUAUGUUUCUGUAUCUCAUUCUCCAUGUUGCUUCUCAUGAUUUUUGAGAGGAGGGAGGAAAAUGCUAAUUUUAUUCUACCAUACACAAACCAGAAGUCCAAAAAAAACAAUUUUUUUCUUUUUUUGAGACAGGGUCUUGCUCUGUCGCCCAAGCUGGAGUGCAGUGGUAUGCUCUGGGCUCACUGUAACCUCUGCCUCCCAAGUUCAAGCGAUUCUUGUGCCUCAGCCUCCGAAGUAGCUGGGAUUACAAGCACAGGCCACCAUACCGGGCUAUUUUUGUAUUUUUAGCAGAGACGGGGUUUCAUCAUGUUGGCCAGGCUGGUCUUGAACUCCUGACCUCAGGUGAUCCACCCACCUCAGCCUCCCAAGGUGUUGGGAUUACAGGCGUGAGCCACUGUGCCUGACCCAACAAAAACAAUUUUGAAGAGGAACAAGAAUAAGCUUUCACCACCAGCUAUCAUGAUUAAAACUAUGGUCUUGGCACAUGGAUAGCUGUGUGUCUUUGUCCCUCUUUAUCCAUCCUAAUGGAACAGAAUUGGCAGCCUAGAAAGAAAUCCAACGGGUGCAGGAGUUUGGCUCUGACAGAGGUGGCAUAACAAACCAUGAAGGAAAGAAUGGACUAAGCGGUACGUGGUGCUGAAAAAGCUAAUAUUAGAUCCUUACCUUCCACCAUACAAAGUACAUUCUAGACUAAAUACCUACACAGUGUCCGUUUAAAUAUAGAGGCCCUGGCCGGGUGCAGUGGCUCACACCUAUAAUCCCAGCACUUUGGGAAGCCGAGGCGGGCGAAUCACUUGAGGUCAGGAGUUUGAGACCAGCCUGGUCAACAUGGUGAAACCCUGUCUCUACUACAGAUACAAAAAUUAGCCAGGUGUGGUGGCACAC
rnacentral:lncRNA from 1 species